rnacentral:lncRNA from 1 species
UUCUUCCCUCCCAUCCCCUCCUGUUCCCCGUUUCUCGCUCACUCUGUCUUCCUGUCCUUUCAAUGUCUUCCUCCCUUUCUUUUCUUUUUCUGCCUGCCUGCCUUUCUGUCUCUCUCUCUCCCUUGUUUUUGCCUCUACUUGUCUGUUUUUCUUUCCCUUCUCCUCUCUUUCUGUCUCUGUCCCUCCCUCCCUCCCUCUUUUCCUUCUCUCCUUUCUCCUCCCACACCCUGGGGCGGGGGAUGGAGGUGGGGGCUGUACUUGUGCUCUGAGCCUGCCCGCUGGCUGUGGGGACCUGACCUUUUCUGCACUGAGGGGAAGGAAUGGGGUAAUUAGCUUAUAUAAUCCCCGGCCUGCCUGCUGUUUGCUGUGGAUGUGGACAAACUCCAUGAAAAUGUGGACUUCUGGGCUGCUGCUGUGGGAUCCCUUCAGAGGGCUCGAGAUGGUUCAUUUUGACCGAGGCCCGUCUGGUGGUUCGUUGCUGUGAUGUAUUUCGGCAUCAUCGACGCAGGUUCACCAGCCUCAUCUCGACCUUGGAAAUGUUGCGGUAUUUUACAGUGUGUGGUGACAUUUAUGGGCCCAUUUGGACACCCACAAAGAGGUUGAUUUCCAUAGAUUAAAUGUCAAGUUUGAAGCCAUCCAGGGUUCAGCUGUCCACACGGUGGCAUGGCUUUCUCAGCUCCACUCUGAUCAUUUCCACCAGAAAGA